rnacentral:tRNA from 1 species
GGGGGUAUAGCUCAGUGGUAGAGCACCCGCAUACGUAUCGGAAGGUCUGGGGUUCGACUCCUUCUGCCUCCA